UACGUAGGGGGCAAGCGUUAUCCGGAAUUACUGGGCGUAAAGCGCGCGUAGGCGGCUUUGCAAGUCGGGUGUGAAAUCCCCAGGCUUAACCUGGGAACUGCAUUCGAGACUGCAUUGCUAGAGUAUGGGAGAGGGCAGUGGAAUUUCCGGUGUAGCGGUGAAAUGCGUAGAUAUCGGAAGGAACAUCAGUGGCGAAAGCGACUGCCUGGACCAAUACUGACGCUCAUGUGCGAAAGCGUGGGGAGCAAACAGG
rnacentral:rRNA from 1 species